GUGCAGCAGUCGAGAAAUUCGACAAUGGGCGAAAGCCUGAUCGAGCGACACCGCGUGCAGGAUGAAGGCCUUCGGGUUGUAAACUGCGGUAGUAUGGUAACAAUGUAAAUGAGUGCCAUACGGAAAGAGGUGGUAACUACGUGCCAGCACCAGCGGUAAUACGUAGACCUCAAGCGUUAUCCGGAUUUAUUGGGCGUAAAGAGCAUGUAGGAGGUUUUGCACGUCUUCUGUUAAAGCCCAGAGCCUAACUCUGGAGAUGCAGGAGAUACGGCAAGACUAGAGGGGUUAGAGGUGCAUGGAACUCACGGUGUAGGGGUGAAAUCCGUUGAUAUCGUGGGGAACACCAAAGGCGAAGGCAGUGCACUGGGACCUUCCUGACUCUGAGAUGCGAAAGCGUGGGGAGCAAAAAGGAUUAGAU
rnacentral:rRNA from 1 species